rnacentral:rRNA from 1 species
UGUCCUACGGGGCGCAGCAGUGGGGGAUAUUGCACAAUGGGGGGAACCCUGAUGCAGCGACGCCGCGUGGGUGAAGGAGCGUUUCGGCGCGUAAAGCCCUAUCGGCAGGGAAGAAGGAGGACGGUACCUGACUAAGAAGCCCCGGCUAAAUACGUGCCAGCAGCCGCGGUAAUACGUAUGGUGCAAGCGUUAUCCGGAUUUACUGGGUGUAAAGGGAGCGCAGGCGGUGCGGCAAGUCUGAUGUGAAAGCCCGGGGCUCAACCCCGGGACUGCAUUGGAAACUACCGAACUAGAGUGUCGGAGGG